rnacentral:rRNA from 1 species
CCUACGGGUGGCAGCAGUGAGGAAUAUUGGUCAAUGGGCGGAAGCCUGAACCAGCCAAGUCGCGUGAGGGAAUAAGGCCCUACGGGUCGUAAACCUCUUUUGCCGGGGAACAAGGGCCGGGACGUGUCCCGGUCCGGAGAGUACCCGGCGACAAAGCAUCGGCUAACUCCGUGCCAGCAGCCGCGGUAAUACGGAGGAUGCGAGCGUUCUCCGGAUUUAUUGGGUUUAAAGGGUGCGUAGGCGGGCUUUUAAGUCAGCGGUAAAAAUUCGGGGCUCAACCCCGUCCGGCCGUUGAAACUGGGGGCCUUGAGUGGGCGAGAAGAAGGCGGAAUGCGUGGUGUAGCGGUGAAAUGCAUAGAUAUCACGCAGAACCCCGAUUGCGAAGGCAGCCUUCCGGCGCCCGACUGACGCUGAGGCACGAAAGUGUGGGGAUCGAACAGGAUUAGAUACCCUUGUAGUC